rnacentral:rRNA from 1 species
AUGGCCUUAUCCUCCCUCUUGCUCCUCCUGCUUCUCUCGGCCGCCCAUGGCGCCGCGGCUCCUCCCGCUCUCGGCUUCACGCGGAGCGACUUCCCGCCGGACUUCGUCUUCGGCGCCGCCACCUCCGCGUACCAGUAUGAGGGCGCCGUGGCUGAGGAUGGCAGGAGCCCAAGCAUCUGGGACACCUUCACUCACGCUGGGAAAAUGCCAGACAAAAGCACGGGCGAUAUCGCUUCUGAAGGAUACCACAAGUACAAGGACGACGUCAAGCUCAUGGCUGACACAAACUUAGAGGCUUACAGAUUCUCCAUCUCCUGGUCAAGGCUUGUUCCAAACGGGAGGGGGGCUGUCAAUCCAAAGGGGUUAGAGUACUACAAUAACCUCAUAAAUGAGCUAGUGAAACAUGGAAUUCAAAUCCAUGUCAUGCUUUACCAUCUCGAUUUCCCACAAGUUUUGGAAGAUGAGUAUGGAGGAUGGUUAAGCCCUAGAAUUGUGGAGGAUUUCACAGCAUUUGCAGAUGUGUGCUUCAGAGAGUUUGGAGACAGGGUUUCGUACUGGACCACGAUAGACGAACCUAAUGUCGGCCCAAUCGGAUCUUACGAUAGUGGAAUAUUUGCACCUGGACGUUGUUCCGAUCCUUUUGGAAUAACAAAAUGUACCGCCGGGAACUCAACCGUGGAGCCGUACAUAGCAGUUCAUAACAUGAUACUGGCACAUGCAUCAGCUACAAGACUUUACAGAGAACAAUAUCAAGCUGUGCAAAAGGGAGUUGUUGGCAUAAACGUUUACUCAUUUUGGACUUAUCCUUUGACGAACUCUACUGUGGAUUUAGAAGCAACUAAAAGAUAUCAAGACUUCAUGUUUGGCUGGACACUAGGACCCUUGGUGUUUGGAGAUUACCCACAAGUGAUGAAGACGAAUGUUGGUUCUCGCCUCCCAUCCUUCACAAAAUCCCAAUCUGAAUUUGUUAAGGGCGCUAUCGAUUUCAUAGGAAUAAAUCAUUACUAUUCUGUCUAUGUGAACGAUCGCCCUUUAAAGGAAGGUGUUCGUGACUAUGCAGCAGACAUGUCAGUUUACCAGAGAGGUUCUAGAACAGACCCAGCAACAAGCGAGUACGCCCCAACGGCUUAUCCAGACGACCCAGAAGGAUUGCAAUUUGUGCUGCAGUACCUGACAGAAGCCUAUGGGGGCCUCCCCAUUUAUGUCCAAGAGAAUGGCAAGGCAUCCGCGAAUGACAUUCUCGAUGACACCGACAGGGUGGAAUACUUGAAGAGCUACAUAGGGAGCACACUGGAUGCAUUAAGAAACGGAGCCAAUGUGAAAGGUUACUUCGUGUGGAACUUCCUGGACAUCUUCGAGUUCCUAGCAGGGUACAAGUUAGGGUUCGGCAUGUAUCGUGUCGACUUUGAUGACGAAGCGCGGCCACGAGAAGCCAGGCUCUCUGCUCGCUGGUACUCCAGGUUUCUGAAAAAUAAUGGCAUUAGUGCUCAGAGUGAGGUCGACGAUACAGGACACCAUGCUCAACAGUAA